GAAUCUUCAUCAUCAAAAUAUUUCCUCAUUUUACUAGCCAUUUUUUACCACAUAAACUCAAGCUCAGCAUCCAGAAAUGUCCCCUCUAAAAUUACAGCUAGCACUGAGUUCAUCAAAACAUCUUGCAGUUCAACAACCUAUCCAACACUUUGCUAUAAAUCCCUUGCUAGACAUGCAAGCUUAAUCCAAACAAGCCCUAAGCUCCUCGCCCAUGCAUCCCUCAACGUGACCCUUGCAAUGGCUAAAUCAACGUCAGCCGUCAUGUUAAAGAUAUCGAAAAGCCUUGGAAUGAAGCCUAGAGAGGCGGAAGCCAUGCAAGAUUGUUUGGAGGAGCUGAGUGAUUCAGUUGAUGAACUCAGAAAGUCUAUUGGCGAAAUGGGUCUGAUCAAAGCUUCUAACUUUGAACUCACAAUGAAUGAUAUACAGACUUGGGUUAGUGCUGCUUUGACUGAUGAGACUACUUGCAGCGAUGGAUUUGAAAAAAAUACGGUUAAUGGGAAAGUCGUGAGAGGCCAGAUUGUGAAGAUUGCCCAUAUGACUAGCAAUGCCUUGGCUUUGAUCAAUAGUUAUGCUUCGCUUCAUGCUUAAUUAGAAACUGUGAUGAUGAUGAGCUUCAGCAUUAAUGUUAACUCACAUAUGUGUAUAUUGUUAAUCUUUUGUCGGGAAAUAAAAUUCUAUUUAAUAUUGGUCAUGUAUCUUUAAUAUAUUCCUACUGUAAGACAAAAUGAGAACUGGAAAGAGAUAUGUUGAAAUGAGUGGUGGUAUGUAGAAGAUGGAUGUUUGUAUUGAGCUCGCUCUAUUGUAACUUAUUAAAUUAUUUGGUAAACAUUAGUUAUUGCGGUUUAGAAAGUAAAUUGAUUUGAUCUCAUAAUUUCAUAAUGAAAAAAAUUAUAAAAUCUUUAAUUUAAAAAAAAAUUAUAUUUACAAUAUAUUUUCAACUUUUAUUUUAUAAUUAUAAUUUUUUUCCACAAUAAUUAUCACUUGAAAACUCCAACACUUUAGUAACAAACAAGGCCUAAGUAAAGUUGUAAAUGUUAACUUGGUAGAUGCAAACAUACUAUGAUAAUUAGCUUUCAGUUGAAUCCAAGAGAAUAUCACGUGGGCACAGAGGAAAAAUUGGACAAACAAGAAGCUAUGAACCAAGCGAAAAUUGCUCCACCAAAUUAGUGACAGACGAUGAUAUGGAGGCCCUAAAAAAAUGUCACAUCAAUCUAAAAUUUUAUACAUUACCUUGAAUUCAUGACGAAUUUCCUCAAGAACUUAUGAGUUUCUCUUUUAUUCUUGAAAUUGAUUGGGCCGAAUGAAAGAUGUGACCUGAUAUGAGGGUGAAUCAUUUCAUGGUGGUACACUAACAAAGUGAGAUUUAUAUAAUUAGCGGGUAUAUGUCAUCCAACAAAUCUAAGGAUGUUUGCUUUAUUCCGUUAUUUUGUUAAGUGAGGCUAUUUCGAAUGCUGAACAAUUAAGCAGGCAAACGAAUCAAUAGUUGCAAACUCUUAUUUUAGAAAAAGAUUAUUUGCACACUGCUUAAGCAAUGAAAUUAUGGGCAUUAUUAUGGUCCCAUGGUCAGAGCCUCCUUUCUUCCUUCGGUCUCACUGGUUAAAUCAAGUCACUAAUCACUAUUAUGUUGAUAAGUCAUUUUAAAAUAUUUAUCUUUUGCGACCGGCUUAGUAUUUUAAGUCUACAUAUUAAUAGAUUGUUAUUCUCGCUAGGGAUGACAAUGGGGAGGGGAGGGGAGGGGACCAAUCUCCCCGUCUCCAUCUCCGAUAUUUUGCGUAUGUCCCCGUCCCGUCCCCAUCCCCGUCAAAAUUAUUUAAGAGAAUCCUCAUCCCCUCCUUGAAUAAUAACAUGGGAUCCCCGAGGGUCCCCGAUCCCCAAAUAACUAAUACAUUUUUUUGUUUUCGAUUUUGAGUUAAUCAUAUUAAAAUAAAAAAUUCAAAUAAAAGUAAAGUUCGAAAUAUAUCUUACAUUAAUAUCCAUUACAAAAGUCACAUACAUUAAAUUAGUAAGUAACGCAGCAUGCAAGAGAUAAAAACUAUUAUGAACAAAUUAAUAGCCUAAUACAAAAUUGUUAAAAAAUAAAUCAAAUUUAGAUUCAAAAUUAACUUUUCAAUGGUGGCAUGGGCACUUUAUAAAUGUGGACUAUUUCUUUUACAACACAUUAGUUAAGUCGAAGCAAAUCAAGAGCAAAUAGUAGAUUUGAUUAAAUAUUAAAAUUGUGAUUUGUUGUGGGCAAUUAUAACAUCUAAAGUAAAAAAAUUUCACCGUCCCCUUCCCCGAAUAAGAAAUUGGGUAUGAAAUUAUCCUCAUACCCUCCCCGAAUGGGGAAAAUCCCCGAGGGUACCCGUCUCCCUGGGGAUUUUUGUCAUCCCUAAUUCUCGCCGAUAUAAGUACAGAGGGUGUCAGUUGGCUCAACGGUUUAAAUUUAUUAAGGCGUUGAAAUAAAAAAUUUGCUUCUCAAACUCUUGCUCAUAUAGGUAGAGGGCAGAUUUAGAUUUUAGCUAACUUACUGAUCAAACUCGCUUUUACGCUUUCGUGUUUCGGACUAGUAGUGAAAGCCUCGUUUUUCUUAUCCUUUUUAUUUCUUGGUGUAGAUUAACUGAUUCAGACUCAUUAUCAUGGUUUUGGGUUUGAUUGUUAAUCAUUUAAGUUCAUGUUAUAGAUGACAAUAAGCCUAACUUAUACUUAAAAAUUGAGAGAUGUUUGCUUAUAUUCUUAACCCAAUAACUAAUCUUAAAUUAUGUGGGUAUUUUCCCAAACUAUCAUCCUCCCCACAUGCAAAUUGGUGUUUUCCAUAGCCAUUAUCAUGCAAAAAGAGAAUGUAUGCUCAUUUGUGCAUUGAAUUUAUUGGAUGUCAAAUUUAUAUCAUAUAAACAGGGGUAUUGAAAAUUAUUGGAUUUCAUCUAAAAGUGUUAGAUUAUAUAAGUUAUAAAACUAAAUAUCUAAAUUAUUGCGGCACAAUACAUAACAAAUGUUUUUGUAAGAAUUUAGUAAAUUUAUGUUAUAGGAGUAAAAUAGUCAAAUUAAACUUAUGUUAAAGCAAACUGAUUGGUCUAUAAAGAGAUCUAAGUCAAUACAAAAAAAAAAUCCAAAAAAUUUUCAUUAUUUCAAUUAUUUAAAAAUAAUGUGAAUUUUUGUAUAGUUAUUUUUUUAAUCUAAAAUACGAAAAUUGUGGGAGUGUCCCCCACGCCGUUCCUUUCCUUAAGAUAGUGGCACUUUGGUCCCAAGCCCAGCAUCAUGCAAUCUUUAUUAGGGAUGGCAAUUUUUCCCGAUGGGAUGGGAUCCCGCAGGAUCCCAUCUCUUUUGAGACGAGAUUGAGAUAUAUUUUUGUCCCAAAAAAAAAUAUAAAGACGGGACUGAGACGUUUUUUCAUCCCAUUUGCAUAUACGGGAUGGGACUAGGAUUGGUAAAUCCCAUCCCAUCUCGUCCCAUUGCCAACCCUAAUCUUUAUCAUGCAAAUUGAAACUAGUGGGCUCCGAGAUGUGGCUAAGACAGACCCUACGCAGCUAAAGCAGCUAAAUUUUGAAAUCCAAAUGCACUGCAUUUCUUCAGCUUUCCAUUCCUUUCUUUGGGGCAAACGUGAGGCCAAUUUCCUCAACUUGUUUUGCAAUUUGAGAGUUUAAGGAUAGAAUCGAAUUAUAUUAUUUCCUGUAGGUACACUCACACAACUUGUUAAGAGAUUUUUUCUUAGAAUAUAUCUCCAAAUUUAAUUAAGUUUCCUUGGUCAGUAGCAGUAGCCCGUAGGCCAAAGUUGAAACUAGAGGUGGCAAAAAUACCCGUCCGGUCCGGACCCGGACCGUACCCGGGCGUUAAUACCCGGUCCGGGUAUGAAGCCGAGUCGAUAUUGGGUAUCACUUGAUAAAUCCGGAACCCGGAUUUUAUUAAAAAAAUAUUAUAAAAUAUAUAUUAUUUUAAAUAUUUAUAUUUAUUUGACUCAUUUAUUAUACAUAUAUAAAGUUUUAAACACUUAAAGUUUAUAUUUUCAUGUCAAAUUUUAUUGAAAUAAAUUUAAAACUUAUAAAAUUACCAAAAAAAUAAAAAAUAUAUACACAUAUAAUAUUAAAAAAUAUAAAUUCGGGUACCCGGAUUAAAACCCGGCCCGGACCCAAUCCGGGACCAGUUGCAUCCAGGUAGGGUCUGGUCAUUGCAAUACCCGGCCCGAGGUUUUGCCAUCCCUAGUUGAAACCUUUCCCUCAACUUGGUCAUUUUGUGGGCUCCCAGAUUCAAGCAUGCGGUUCAGUUUUGAAUACCAAUAUGUUGUUCCUAUCUUUCAAAAAGCAUUGGAUUUAAUUUCGCCUUAACUUCAUCUGCACAAUUUGAGAGUUAAGGACGGGAUCAAUUAUUGAUUGUGCUCAGAUAUUUUUGGAAUUGGCUUCCCGCCUUCCUUUUGGUCCCGCUGUCGACAUUCUAAAAGCAAAAUGAGUAGUAAUAACCCAACAGUUGCACAUAAACUCUAGAAUCUGUUGAGCGUUACACGUUCCAAUAAUAAAGAAAGAAAGUGUGAGCACGGAAGUGCACUAGAUCGGUUAAAUCAAAUUUUGAUACAUAAAUCUAUUUAAUUAAUCACAAUAAUCGAUCAAAACAGAUCAAAUCAGAUACAAAUAUCUCCUGCCAAAAACAAAUUUAUUAUCGCUUGGUUCUUUAAUUUUCUUUAUUCAGAGAUUGAUAUUUCUCCUUUUAACUACUUACUCUUUACAAUUUUCAGAAUAGUCGAUUGACCAUUCACUGCCGAAAUUUUGUAGCUGGAAUGGGUUUAUUUGCAAAAGUUCUAGCAUAAGAGAGCAAAGGACUGUCAUGAAUUUAACCAGUUAACCACCUGCUACUGUAAUGGAGAAACCGAGAUUAUGAGAGGAGCUUACUCCGUUAAUUUCAAGAUGAAUUUUGUUCAAAUUCACCACUCGCCUCGAUUAGAAUCUAAAAUAGCUUUGAAGGAUUAGUACAUUGUUCUUGAACGUAGCUGCCAGUUGUCAACUUUGGGUCCCAUUGAUAUUCUUGACUGUAGCACUUUUGCCCUAUAAAAUGGACACCCUUUCCUUUCCGUUUCAUCACAUAACUCAAUCCUCACUUCAUUUGCUCAUAAUUUCAAAGGUCAGAGAGAGAGACAUGGAAGGUUCAUCCUCAAAUCAUAUGCUUAAAUACUUUCUCAUUUUACUAGCCAUUUUUUCCUACUUAAAUUCAAGCUCAGCCUCUAGACAUGGCCCCUCUAAAAUUGCUGCUGACAGAAGGUUCAUCAAAACAUCUUGCAGUUCAACAACUUAUCCAACACUUUGCUAUAAAUCCCUUGCUAGACAUGCAAGCUUAAUCCAAACAAGCCCUAAGCUCCUCGCCCAUGCAUCCCUCAACGUGACCCUUGCAAUGGCUAAAUCAACGUCAGCCGUCAUGUUAAAGAUGUCGAAAAGCCCUGGAAUGAAGCCUAGAGAGGUGGAUGCCAUGCAAGAUUGUUUGGAGGAGCUGAGUGAUUCAGUUGAUGAGCUCAGAAAGUCCAUUGGCGAAAUGGGUCUGAUCAAAGCUUCAAAUUUUGAACUUACAAUGAGUGAUAUACAGACUUGGGUUAGUGCUGCUUUGACUGAUGAGACUACUUGCAGCGAUGGAUUUGAGAAGAAUACGGUGAAUGGGAAAGUUGUGAGGGCCCAGAUUGUGAAGAUUGCUCAUAUGACUAGCAAUGCCUUGGCUUUGAUCAAUAGUUAUGCUUCUCUUCGCGGUUAGAUAUUCUCAUGAUUAGCUCCAUUAUUGUAAGUGAUUUAUGCAGUAUUAAUCCUGCCUGUGGAGAUCAGAUUUAUGAAAAUGUAAUCUUUAUUGCAAGCAAAUAGCAGAUCCAGAAAAAAAAAGUUGGAUUUAUCUAUUUUCCUUUUCUGUUAGGGAUGUCGAAGAAGCGUUGGCAAAUGGCUUUGUAAAUGUAAAUUUGUACUAUAUAGUAAUUAAAUAUAAAUUUGAACUUGUUAGCUAGUUGCAUGGUCUGUUUGAUUAGAGGUUAGGUUAUGAUCACAUGUGCACAGAGAAAAAUUGGACAAACAAAAAACUAUCAACCAAACCACAACUGCUCUUACCUUGUAGUUAGUUGGGCUGUGCAAGCAAAUACUAGGAAAUUUUUCGUGAUCGCCGAGAAUAUUUAUCAUUUAGUAGGUAGUGUAACAAAUCUAAGGAAUAUUUGGCUUUAUUCUAUCAUUUUGGUUAGUGUGUGAAUUUCAAUCUACAUUUCAAAUUGCUCAAAAGCAUAUGGUGCCAGUUGCAAAGCACUGAUACAACUAUUAUUUACUUUAAAAACAUUAUUGCUAACUCCUUAAGCAAAGAAAUUGUGGGCAUUGCCGCAUUGGCAUGGCCCCAUGGUCCCAAACUCUCUUUGUUUCCUUCUCAUUCUCAAUAAAGCACCAGAGAGCACACUCUAAGCCAGCCCAACCACUCUCCUUGUUCACGAAUUACAGAUUAUAAUGCAAUGAGGCUGACCAAAUAAGAGCAGUAAACGCUUUCACCAUACAAUAUUCUAAAGUGGUUUGUGUUUCGAAUUUGCAAAUGAGUGGAGCAAGAUUUUUAUGAAAGCUGACAUGCUCAUGAGCGUACUUAGAUUGAUUAAAACAGAUGUGGGUCAGAGAGGCAUGGUUCUGCAUCAUGCUUAUAAAGGAAAAAGAGAAGAAAAAGAAGUCUCAUCAUAAUGAAAACUACAGUACAGGCACAAAAAUAUAUUCCCAUCGAGAAGCUCAUUGAGACAGAAAAGAUGUAAAGCAAACCACUGGAAAGACAAAAGUAAAUUCCUCUUUUAACCAUUGACAUAUUAAGUGAUUUUGCAGUUACAAUCCAGCCAAAACAGAGCUCAGUUUGAAGAUACAAUCCCGCCCAAAAAAAAAAAUUUAAGUUAUAGGAAACUACUAAGAAGAUUUCUUGGGAGGAGACAUGUUAUGAACGAGGGAAAUUGUAGUGCUGACAAGAAAUAUCUGUACCGAUGAUCCUGUAUAAGGAUACAUAGAAAACAGUGUUUAGGUUAUAUAGAUAUUAUGACACAAGCAUGACAACAGAUAUACUAGUUAACAUAAAGACAGUGAACUUACCGAUCAGAACACGUGCAGCUUCAAGAAGUUCAAACUUCUUUGUUUCCCAGAUGCUUGGGUUGUUUAUAACCUAAACAAUAGAUUCAUAUUACAGUCAGAGAGCUUGAGAGAACCGCUACUUAACCUCUGCAACAUAACUUUUGAGAUGAAAUGAAAAUCAUUUUUCUUUAAGCAUGCAUUCAUGCAUUUGUAGUCUUGAUGAUCCAAUUUUCUAAUUCCAAACUCAGUAACCAUUCUGAACAUAUGAGUUGAAGGGGAGCAUACUCACCAUUGAUAAAUAUAUAAAGUAGAUCUAUACCCUAUUCCCUUCUUUCACAAUGAUUUCUGGAAAUUAUAAUAGUUACAACAUUAUUAAUCCGUGGUGGAAGGAGAUAUAACAUCCAGAUUCUUGGUAGAAUUCUAUAGGACCUGAAAGGCUUAUGUACUCUGUUUAUUAGAAAAUAACUCAACUAGCAUUAAAUAAGUACUGGAUUAUCCAUUUUAGGAAUUCCAGCAUGACAGGAUAAGUAUUGUAUGUUGAUAGAUAAACCAAUCAGGAAGCUUGUCUGUGCAAAAUCCAUCACUUCGAAAUGCCAUCAUAAAUUAGGCAUGAAUAAACAAAUGUGAUACCAACUUGCAAUGAUGUCCCAGGGUUAAGGUAUUCAUUUUUUUCCCACGGGCCCCUCAUGUCCUCUUGCUGUUUUACAAAAAAGGUUAAGAAAAAUAAGCACCACCGAAUUCAAAUUCGUUGAAUUAAGUCAAUGCUAGACAGUCCAUCGUCACUUAACUAAAAUUACUUCCCCAUGAACUUUAUCAACAAUAAGAUCCAUUUCCAUAUUUCCUCAAGCCACUUUGUAGAAAGCAAAAAUGGAACUGUUUUAAUCUUGAACAUUGUCAGCUUCUAUAAUGGAACAACAAGAACUUCUUGAGAAAAAGGGUCUCUAACACACAUAUAUUCCCAAUAAGACUCAACAGAAAAAUCCACACUUCUGCAAAAACUCCUUGAUCACUCUAUAAUGCUAGCAGAUCAUCAGAGCACUGUAUUCCAUAUAAAUCUGACUCUCCAGUGCACACCCAACAUAUCCAACUUCAAAAAAAGAUACAAAUUUCUCACAUUUUAAAAAAUACAUAAGUAGGGCUCUUCAACCAACUCAACUUUACCUAUUCUAAGGGGGCAACUACUAUUAAGCAAUAACACACUCUACUUGAUUGACAUUGCGAAUACUUCCCAAAUACCAAUAGGAUAACACAAGCUAGUGGGCAUUUUUACAAACUUCUGGUCCAGAAUUGGAAAAAGAAAAAAGGACUUCAAUACUUCAACGAACACCAUAUAUCAUAGUCAAUUAAUAUUUAUUGGUUUGUAGAAAUAGAUUCUAAAUAUUAUCAGGAAGAAUGAGAAUUGCUUGUUAGAAGUCAAAAUCAGUUAAUUUUGCGUGGCACAAGUCUUCUUCAUCUAAAUGCCACAACAUGUUAGAAACAUGUCUGUCACCCAGUCAUUUCAUAUUCUAACACACUGCCCCUUAUUUUGGCUAGACUACUAAGUGCAGUCAUCCAUCAAGAACAACAAUGUUAAGUUUUCUAUCAAGAUGGGAGUUCCAUUUGAAACUAGUGCAAUUGAAAAGACAAAUAGCAAUGUACCGAAACAGAUAAAUUAACACUUGUAAACAAUGAAAAUGAAACUUCCCUCACAAUUUUGAAAAAAUUGAAAAGUAAAAUAAUAAUAAUAAUAACUGACCUCUAAAAUUGAAUUAGUCCUGACGACACUAAAUACAGAGAGGAGCACAGCAAUAGACGAUGCAACCACGCAAACUCUCAAGAGACUGACUCGGCUGCGCUUACGACCUACAGUACAUGAAGAUAUUCAACAUUACGUGAACCAACAAGUCACAUACAAAAAUUAAAGGAAAAUGAUGAAGUUAAACAACAACCUAAUUCUCCAAUUAUAAGAGAAACCAAUCCAAGAGAAGCAGAGGAAAGAGAAAGUGGAUUGGGACCCUCUUCCUUCGAAUUUAAUACAAAUGUGAACAACAAUCCUAUCAAUUGAAUGGCAGCCUGCAAUCACAAACAUAUAAAAAUCCAAAAGCAAAAUUGAAUUAAACCCAAUUGAUCAAAUCAAAUAAGAAGUUCAAAGAACCUACUAAAGCUCAGUGACCCGGUUCAAACUCAACAAACCCACAAAGGGUUACAAGUAAAAUUACCAAAAAAUUAGGUACCUGAGCGAAAAUGAGUUUAGAGAGACGAGACUUCCCUCUAGCCACCUUUGUGUAUCCUGUUGUUAAAUUUUACCAACAAAUCAAAUGCAUAUACUGAAUUUAUGAUCCUGUUAUCAUAAAAAUGAAAACUUACGGGAAUCGACGACCAUCCGAUACGAAAAAUCAGAUCCGUCGGUGCCAGAUGGCCGCCCCGACGCAGUUGAUUUUCUCUGCUGCAUCUUGUUUCCCUGUUCUGGUUCACAGCUGCCACAGCGGGGACUGUGACGGUCGCUGCGGUUGCACGGUAGAUUUCGCCGGCGAACUCCGGCUGGAACAGGUGAUAUCAGCUAAUUCGUCGCCGGUGGCGGUGCCGACUACGACCGUGAUUAGAACUACGAGUUGUACGACGAUGCCGGAGCUUCUAGGAGAGAACGAAAAGUUGAGAAAAGAAAACGCGCAACUGAAUAACGAGUUGAGUCAGUUGAAAGGAUUGUGUAAUAACAUACUCGCUUUAAUGACGAAUUACGCUUCCGGUCAGCUGGACAACGUAAGUCUGCCGGAGGGGAAGACGGUGGAGAUACUGCCGGCGAGGAAGGCCGAUGAAGGCGGCGCGAAGGUGGAGGAGGCGGAGGAGUUGGAUCUGACUCCGAGGUUGUUUGGUGUGUCGAUUGGGGCGAAGCGUGCGAGGAGAGAAGAGGAAGAAGAGAAGAAUCAACUGCAGCAACAGCAAGGUGAGAAUCAGCCGGGGUCGGAUGUUAAAUCAGAGCCGUUGGAUGCGAAUAAUGAUCAUCAUCAGGAACCUCCUUGGCUAGAACUGGGUAAAUCGUGAGAACUGACGGCGAUAUGGAUUAAUAUGGUUGGUGCACGUGGUGAUGGGGCCACGUGAUGAUAUGUGCGGAUCCGGUCAAAUUGUUUGCUUAUUAAAAGGCAAGCGCUUUUUGAUCCGAGGAAGGUGGGGAUGUGAAAGGAGUGCGGAGAGCAGCAAAGCGGCUGAAAACUGAGAGAAGGCAAACUCCUGAGGCGACGACCAAAAGGUAGAAGCAACUGAAUCAAGUUAUAGGUUGCUCCAGCACAACGUGGAGGGGGCUUAUUUGUGGAAUUUUAUUAAGAUCUUCAUGUUUACAGAGCAGUCCCUAGAGUUCGAGGGAAUUGUAGCAGAUAUACAGUGACACUUUUAAAAUUAUUUCAAUACUCUAAAAAUAGAAUUUACCAAAAUUUUCAUAGACACCCUUUAAAAACUGACAUCAAAUUAUUAAAUUGUCCUCAUUUUAAAGCACUUCCAAC
rnacentral:lncRNA from 1 species